ensembl:lincRNA Meg3 maternally expressed 3
UCCUCCACCCACCUUCUCGGAGAUGUCCCUUUUGGGGUAGUGGGGACAUUAGGAGCAACCUCCUAGGGUUGUUGUGAGAAUUAAAUGAACUGCAGCAGCCUGAGGCAGGGCUGGGCAGAGACCUCAGCACAUGUUUGUUGAAAGGUUUGCAGGUGGAUCUAGUCCUCCCGUUCAUGGCUCAUGUGUCUCAACCAUUCUCUCGCAGACUCCUGCAGCCCCUAUGCCCAGGGCUCUCCUUGCGCCAGCCCCGGCUUCUCGAGGCCUGUCUACACUCGCUGCUUUCCUUCCUCACCUCCAAUUUCCCCUCCAACCCACUGCUUCCUGACUCGCUCUUCUCCAUCGAACGGCUCUCGCUCAGGUUUAAGGCUUGGCUUGCUGGCCCUGGAGAUCCCGUCGCCGUCUUCGUCGAACUCGAAAUCCUAGCCAUCGUCCUUCCCUGGCCUGUCGCGUCUUCCUGUGCCAUUUGCUGUUGUGCUCAGGUUCCACGAGCUGCCCAUCUCCACAGAAGAGCAGCUGGCAUUGCCCACCGGCCAUGCCGGCUGAAGAAAAGAAGACUGAGGACCCCAGGAUGCCCAGCGCGAGGACCCCAGGAAGCCCAGCGCGAGGACUCCACCCACGACGCCCAGCGCGAGGACUUCACGCACAACACGUUGCAACCCUCCUGGAUUAGGCCAAAGCCAUCAUCUGGAAUCCUGCGUGGGACCCUGGACACACGGACACAGACACCUGCCCCCAGGACCCUCCAACUGUAAAUC